ACUCGAGCGGGAAGAGCGCGCAGUCUGCGUCUGUGCAGUCUCCGCCCUCUGGAAGGAGGCGGAGCCGAGACGAGCCCUGGGCGGGGCGCGGAGGCCCCGCUGGCCAAUUAACAUGAGCAUCUUCGCGGGAGAGGCGGGGCGCGGUGCGACCAAGAGGCGGAAGGGGCGGUGCCGAGGCCUGGAAUCCCCGAAUCUCAGUUCUCGCUCUUGUGGUUCGGGGUGAGCGGGGUUCUCCUUGCUAAUCCUUAAGCCAGAGACGCUCUCUGUAAAUGAAAAUUUAUCUGUUGCCUCCUUUAGAGUCUGUCUCGCAUCUAUGUGAUGAGGGCGCACACCGUGCCCAGGAAUCACCUGGAAUCUUAUUAAAAGUGCAGAGUUGGUUCAGUAGGUCUACGGUGAGGCCCGAGAUGCUGCGUUCCUAAUUAGCUCCGAGAGGACGUCGAUGCUGUGCCUUCUCCAACACACUUUGAGGAGCAAAGGCCACUAAAGCAGAAAAGACGGCUGCAAUGGUAGUUAACACAACAGUGUUACCUCUCAACCGUGGUGAUUAUCCAUAAAGCCUUUCGUUCGGACAACGAAUUAAUUCACUUAUUUGGAAUGCCUCUUUCAGAUGAGUGAAUUUUAGACAGCAAUAAUAGACAAAAAGAAA